rnacentral:rRNA from 1 species
GGGUUGUGAGGUUAAGCGACUAAGCGUACACGGUGGAUGCCUAGGCAGUCAGAGGCGAUGAAGGGCGUGCUAAUCUGCGAAAAGCGUCGGUAAGCUGAUAUGAAGCGUUAUAACCGACGAUACCCGAAUGGGGAAACCCAGUGCAAUUCGUUGCACUAUUGCAUGGUGAAUACAUAGCCAUGCAAGGCGAACCGGGGGAACUGAAACAUCUAAGUACCCCGAGGAAAAGAAAUCAACCGAGAUUCCCCCAGUAGCGGCGAGCGAACGGGGAAGAGCCCAGAGUCUGAAUCAGUUUAUGUGUUAGUGGAAGCGUCUGGAAAGUCGCACGGUACAGGGUGAUAGUCCCGUACACAAAAAUGCAUAUUCUGUGAACUCGAUGAGUAGGGCGGGACACGUGACAUCCUGUCUGAAUAUGGGGGGACCAUCCUCCAAGGCUAAAUACUCCUGACUGACCGAUAGUGAACCAGUACCGUGAGGGAAAGGCGAAAAGAACCCCGGCGAGGGGAGUGAAAUAGAACCUGAAACCGUGUACGUACAAGCAGUGGGAGCACCUUCGUGGUGUGACUGCGUACCUUUUGUAUAAUGGGUCAGCGACUUAUAUUUUGUAGCAAGGUUAACCGAAUAGGGGAGCCGUAGGGAAACCGAGUCUUAACUGGGCGUCUAGUUGCAAGGUAUAGACCCGAAACCCGGUGAUCUAGCCAUGGGCAGGUUGAAGGUUGGGUAACACUAACUGGAGGACCGAACCGACUAAUGUUGAAAAAUUAGCGGAUGACUUGUGGCUGGGGGUGAAAGGCCAAUCAAACCGGGAGAUAGCUGGUUCUCCCCGAAAGCUAUUUAGGUAGCGCCUCGUGAACUCAUCUUCGGGGGUAGAGCACUGUUUCGGCUAGGGGGUCAUCCCGACUUACCAAACCGAUGCAAACUCCGAAUACCGAAGAAUGUUAUCACGGGAGACACACGGCGGGUGCUAACGUCCGUCGUGAAGAGGGAAACAACCCAGACCGCCAGCUAAGGUCCCAAAGUCAUGGUUAAGUGGGAAACGAUGUGGGAAGGCACAGACAGCCAGGAUGUUGGCUUAGAAGCAGCCAUCAUUUAAAGAAAGCGUAAUAGCUCACUGGUCGAGUCGGCCUGCGCGGAAGAUGUAACGGGGCUAAACCAUGCACCGAAGCUGCGGCAGCGACACUUAGGUGUUGUUGGGUAGGGGAGCGUUCUGUAAGCCGUUGAAGGUGACCUGUGAGGGUUGCUGGAGGUAUCAGAAGUGCGAAUGCUGACAUAAGUAACGAUAAUGCGGGUGAAAAACCCGCACGCCGGAAGACCAAGGGUUCCUGUCCAACGUUAAUCGGGGCAGGGUGAGUCGACCCCUAAGGCGAGGCUGAAAAGCGUAGUCGAUGGGAAACAGGUUAAUAUUCCUGUACUUGGUGUUACUGCGAAGGGGGGACGGAGAAGGCUAGGCUAGCCGGGCGACGGUUGUCCCGGUUUAAGCAUGUAGGCGGAGUGACUUGGUAAAUCCGGUUGCUUAUCAACGCUGAGGUGUGAUGACGAUGCACUACGGUGCAGAAGUAGUUGAUGCCAAGCUUCCAGGAAAAGCCUCUAAGCAUCAGGUAACAUUAAAUCGUACCCCAAACCGACACAGGUGGUCAGGUAGAGAAUACUCAGGCGCUUGAGAGAACUCGGGUGAAGGAACUAGGCAAAAUGGUGCCGUAACUUCGGGAGAAGGCACGCUGGCAUUAGGUAAAGAGACUUGCUCUCGGCGCCGAAGCCAGUCGCAGAUACCAGCUGGCUGCAACUGUUUAAUAAAAACACAGCACUGUGCAAACACGAAAGUGGACGUAUACGGUGUGACGCCUGCCCGGUGCUGGAAGGUUAAUUGAUGGGGUCAGCCUUACGGCGAAGCUCUUGAUCGAAGCCCCAGUAAACGGCGGCCGUAACUAUAACGGUCCUAAGGUAGCGAAAUUCCUUGUCGGGUAAGUUCCGACCUGCACGAAUGGCGUAAUGAUGGCCAGGCUGUCUCCACCCGAGACUCAGUGAAAUUGAACUCGCUGUGAAGAUGCAGUGUACCCGCGGCAAGACGGAAAGACCCCGUGAACCUUUACUAUAGCUUGACACUGAACAUUGAGCCUUGAUGUGUAGGAUAGGUGGGAGGCAUUGAAGUGUGGACGCCAGUCUGCAUGGAGCCAACCUUGAAAUACCACCCUUUAAUGUUUGAUGUUCUAACUCGGCCCCGUAAUCCGGGGUGAGGACAGUGUCUGGUGGGUAGUUUGACUGGGGCGGUCUCCUCCCAAAGAGUAACGGAGGAGCACGAAGGUUAGCUAAUCACGGUCGGACAUCGUGAGGUUAGUGCAAAGGCAUAAGCUAGCUUGACUGCGAGAGUGACGGCUCGAGCAGGUACGAAAGUAGGUCUUAGUGAUCCGGUGGUUCUGAAUGGAAGGGCCAUCGCUCAACGGAUAAAAGGUACUCCGGGGAUAACAGGCUGAUACCGCCCAAGAGUUCAUAUCGACGGCGGUGUUUGGCACCUCGAUGUCGGCUCAUCACAUCCUGGGGCUGAAGUAGGUCCCAAGGGUAUGGCUGUUCGCCAUUUAAAGUGGUACGCGAGCUGGGUUUAGAACGUCGUGAGACAGUUCGGUCCCUAUCUGCCGUGGGCGUUGGAAGAUUGAGAGGGGCUGCUCCUAGUACGAGAGGACCGGAGUGGACGAAUCACUGGUGUUCGGGUUGUCAUGCCAAUGGCAUUGCCCGGUAGCUAAAUUCGGAAGAGAUAACCGCUGAAAGCAUCUAAGCGGGAAACUUGCCUCGAGAUGAGUCUUCCCUGGGGCUUUAAGCCCCCUGAAGGAACGUUAAAGACUAUGACGUUGAUAGGCUGGGUGUGUAAGUGCAGCGAUGCAUUGAGCUAACCAGUACUAAUGAUCCGUGAGGCUUAACCUUACAACACCAAAGGUGUUUUG